rnacentral:rRNA from 1 species
CUACGGGCUGCUCCAGUGAGGAAUAUUGCACAAUGGGGGAAACCCUGAUGCAGCAACGCCGCGUGGAGGAUGACGCAUUUCGGUGUGUAAACUCCUUUUAUAUGUCAAGAAAAUGACGGUAGCAUAUGAAUAAGCACCGGCUAACUCCGUGCCAGCAGCCGCGGUAAUACGGAGGGUGCAAGCGUUACUCGGAAUCACUGGGCGUAAAGGACGCGUAGGCUGUUUGGCAAGUCAGAUGUGAAAUCCUAUGGCUCAACCAUAGAACUGCAUUUGAAACUGCCAGACUAGAGUAUGGGAGGGGGAGAUGGAAUUAGUGGUGUAGGGGUAAAAUCCGUAGAUAUCACUAGGAAUACCUAAAGCGAAGGCGAUCUCCUGGAACAUUACUGACGCUAAGGCGUGAAAGCGUGGGGAGCAAACAGGAUUAGAUACCCCUGUAGUC